AUGGGCUGGUUGUUUUGAGCGG
rnacentral:miRNA from 1 species